CCGGGCUUCCCUGCGGGUCGGUGUGGGCCCUGCGCUGUCUCCCGGCCCUGGGCGCUGCCGUCCUCUUCAGCUGGGGCAGAGCUUGUGACGUCACAGUCACCUCAUGGUCCAAGAGGGCUCCCAGAGCUCCAGCCAUCAUCUCCAUCUUCCGGGCAGCCUCUGGAGGAAGCAGGUGCUCCUGCUGUUUCAGCUGUCACUAUGCAGUCUUCUCACAAGUGCUGUAUGACGCUUUUGCUUGCACCUCAUUGGCUGGAACAGAGUCCACGUCUGCGCCUGCCUGGGAGAGGCCAGAAGAUGGAAUGUUCAGCUGUCUCAGAUCAACCUUGGGGAACAGGCCCUUAGCAACAGCUGCCACUCCUGGCUUUGUUGUGGGCGGUGGC
rnacentral:lncRNA from 1 species